GAUGAACGCUGGCGGCGUGCCUAAUACAUGCAAGUCGAGCGAACGGACGAGAAGCUUGCUUCUCUGAUGUUAGCGGCGGACGGGUGAGUAACACGUGGAUAACCUACCUAUAAGACUGGGAUAACUUCGGGAAACCGGAGCUAAUACCGGAUAAUAUUUUGAACCGCAUGGUUCAAAAGUGAAAGACGGUCUUGCUUUCACUUAUAGAUGGAUCCGCGCUGCAUUAGCUAGUUGGUAAGGUAACGGCUUACCAAGGCAACGAUGCAUAGCCGACCUGAGAGGGUGAUCGGCCACACUGGAACUGAGACACGGUCCAGACUCCUAAGGGAGGCAGCAGUAGCGAAUCUUCCGCAAUGGGCGAAAGCCUGACGGAGCAACGCCGCGUGAGUGAUGAAGGUCUUCGGAUCGUAAAACUCUGUUAUUAGGGAAGAACAUAUGUGUAAGUAACUGUACACAUCGUGACGGUACCUAAUCAGAAAGCCACGGCUAACUACGUG
rnacentral:rRNA from 1 species